rnacentral:lncRNA from 1 species
UCCUCUCUCAUCAUCAUCUAGGGUCCAGAAUUCAUUUUCCUUCUCACUUAUAUAGGAUUUGAUCUAGGGUCUAGAAUUCAAUUUUCUAUUGAUUAAUUUCAAAUGCAUCUCAUCAUCUAGGGUCCAGAAUUCAGGAUUUGAUCUAGAGUCUAGAAUUCAAUUUUCUACUGAGUAUUCCCUUUUCUCUCUCAUCGUGUAGGGUCUAGAAUUCAAUUUUCUUUCUCAGGCAAUUUUUUCUCUCACAUUGGACAAUUGAUUAAUUGUCUUCAAAUGCAUCUCUAUAUCUAACAAUUGAUUUUUUGAUUAAUUGUCAUCAAAUGCAUCUCUAUCUCUAACAAUUGAUUAAUUUUCUUCAAAUGCACAUUUAUAUCUAUUCUUAAUUUUCUUCAAAUUCAUCUCGAUCUCUAUCAACAGAAUUUGAUUGAUAAUACGAGAUGGUUU